AUGUCAUGUUCAAUUGCCGUUGUUCGACGAGGCACAUCAGGAAAUAAAUUCUCAUAUUGUUUAAUCAAGGAGAUUAAAUCAUUACGUUCUACUGUGGAUAAACUAGACAAAAAUAAAUCUAGAUCACUAAGAACCUCAGAAUUCUUCAUUCACCCUUCAAUUACCUCCAUUGAUGGAAUACGACCCUCAUCUUCAAACAAAGCACCCACCACAGCACCCUGUUGUACCGACGAAAAUGCAUUUUCAGGUUGUGCCGCAACCACCAGUGAGGAAACAACUUCCGCAUCACACUUCUUGGACGGUUGCACGCUUGUUACGCGGGCAUCAUCAUUUCUGACAGUUGCAGUGCAAGGAGAUUUCAGUUCAGAAAUUGAACCUUCUCGAUCACAAUACAACUUCAAACGAUUAAUAUGACAUAGUGUGGUCUUUCUCUUCCGAUCUGGAGUCGAGAUGACAUAAUUCAUUCUUUUUUUACAGAGACCUAAAUUAUCUUUAGCCAACUGACAUGCCGGACUGAGCCUAUUACGCAUGUUGGACACGUAAUUACACAAGCUGACAGACUCUUUAGGCUCAGCGAGCCACGACUCUUUCAACAGCUUCAAAGGCCCACGAACCAUGUGCCCGAAAACAAGUUCCGACGGGCUGAAACCCAAACUCUCCUGUACUACCUCGCGCACAGCAAAAAGAGCAAACGGUACACCUUCAUCCCAAUCACGUUGAAACUCGAGGCAAAAACACUUGAGCAUACUUUUCAAAGUUUGAUGGAACCUCUCAAGUGCACCUUGAGUUUGCGGAUGAUACGGGCUGGACGUAACAUGGUGGACCGCGAGCUGGCGCAUAGCUUGAGCAAAUACCCGGGACAUAAAAUUAGUACCGCGGUCCGUCUGAAUGGUUUUCGGAAGGCCAAAAAGAGAGAAGAAACCCAUCAGGGCCUUAAUGAUGACAGGAGCUGUGAUUUUACGAAGCAGAAUCGCUUCUGGAAAACGAGUCACGCUACACAUGAUGGUGAGUAACCAUUGAUUCCCAGACUUUGUUCGGGGCAAUGGGCCAACACAGUCUAAUAUAACAUUUUCAAAAGGCUCAGACGUAACCGGAAUCGGCUGUAAAGGCGCAGGUGGAAUCACCUGGUUAGGUUUUCCAACGACCUGACAUAAAUGACAUGUUCGGCAAUAUCUCACGACAUCUUUUUUAAUACCUGGCCAAAAAAAAUGGUGUAGAACUCUGUCAGUGGUCUUAUUUACGCCAAGAUGACCUGCAAAGUGAUGGUCAUGAGCUAAACUCAAAACUUUAUCACGAAAGGAGACUGGGACAACAAUUUGCAAGAGAACUCUCCACUCAUCUUGCGCUGAGGCCAUAAGAGGUCUCCACUUGCGCAUUAAGACACCAUCUCGUAAAAAAUAGCCAUGCGGCGAAUGCUCAAUGUCUUCUUCAGGCAUAGCUUCUGAAAAACAAGAAGACAGAGAUGGGUCAAUUUCCUGUUCCUUAAUAAGCUGCUCUCGACUCAUGGGAAAAUUAGGAAAAUCAGAAGGAAACGAUAGUGAAGCAGAGUUCAAAAGUAAAUCACUAUCGUUAGAGAGUGGAGGCUGAGCCAUAAAAGUGUCACUAAGAUUAAGUUGAUCCUCAGUUUCAUCCUGUUUUUCAUUUCUCGCCAUAGCACGAGUAACCACACUAGAAGAAAAAACCUCGGGGAAGUUAAUUGACAGGUCAUCAGUACCUAUUUUUGGAGAUGCAUGAGACACUAUGGGGCAAGGCAGGACCUUUCCACCACACAAAUCAUUACCAAGUAGCACAGCUACGUUUUCAAUAGGCAAGGAGGGACGUACACCCAAAGUAACAUUGCCAGUAACUAAGUCAGGCAUAAGAGAAAUCUCAUGCAGAGGGACACUAACAUAACCCAUUUCAAAUCCACGUACAAGAAUACUAUCACCAGUAAAAGUCUUAUCACUGAAAGACAACACAUCUUGCAAAAUAAAGCUCUGUGAAGCACCAGUAUCACGCAGAAUUUUUACAGGAAUUUUUAAGCUCUCCUCGGGCAAAGAGACAAAGCCAUCCAUUAUAAACGGUGCAAAACUGUGAUUGUCAGUAUGGGUGUCAUCCCUACUCCCAGGCAAGUUCGAAACACACAAACCCACCUCUGAUCUAUAAGAAGCGGGUUGACUCGCUGCCUUAUUUUUACGCUGUAGCGAAUAACACUCAGACAAAACAUGACCACGUUUCUUACAAUAAGCACAGGUCGGACGUGUAGCGUUAGAUACCGACGGACGCCGGUCUAGAGAGCGGGCAGAAGCAGGCACGGUUUCUCUAGACAUCUUAGACACAUUUGGAUGACUAGAAACGUUUUGUGCGAAUUUAGAAUUAGAAGGAACAUGCUUAUGUGUGAGUGCAUACUCAUCGGCAAGCACAGCUGCACGAGCAGGAGUCAAAUUCUUAUGCUCACUAACAUGAGUAGCGACUGUUUGAGGAAGACCAUUUUUAAAAUCUUCAAGAAUAAUCAAAUCACGAAGAGAUUGAAAAGUUGUUACUUCUUGAGAGCUAAGCCAGCGAUCAAAUAGCAUUUCUUUUUCUCUUACAUACUCGACAAAUGUGAGAGCGUCAGGUUUCUGAUAACUGCGAAACUUCUGUCGAUAAGCCUCUGGCACAAGAGCAUAAAUGCGUAAAACAGCAUGUUUAACUUUUUCGUAAUCUGCUUCGUCUUCAAGAGUUAACGAGGAAUAAGCCUCCUGCGCUUUUCCAGUGAAAACACAUUCUAACGUCAUGGUCCAAAUCUCUUUGGGCCAUUUAAAUGUUGUCGCUACACGUUCAAAAUGUGCAAAAAACUUAUCAACUUCGCUCUCAUUAAAAGGUGGAACAAGACGAAUGUUACGAGUUAUGUCAACUUGAUCUGCUUUGAAUAGAGCACCAGCCUCACGAGCCUUCAGCUCGAGUUCUUUCAUACGCAAUGCCUGCGCAAACUCAAGAUCUUUCAGUCUCAAUUCAUGUUCUCUUUUCUCUCGUUCUCGCGCUGUCUGUCUAUCAGCCUCCAAUCUAGGUUUUUCACGUUCCCACUCAAUUUCCUUUUCUCUUAACUGUAAACGUUUCAAUUCUAGUGCGGCCUUACUAGGUGAAGGUGGAUCAAUAGGAAGACGCUUACCCUGGUCAGGCAAUGUAGAUACAGCAGGAAACACUUUCCCAAACACUCCAAGUUCUCGCGAAUCUCCCACAAGCUUAUUCUGAAGCUCAGCCUUGGAAGGGCUACCACUCACCUCAAGUUUAUAGUGGCCCGCGAUUCUAACAAGGUCAUCACGCGUCGCAGUUAACAAAAUAUCCUGUGAAGGAGCGAUAAUAAAUGCAUCUAAAUCAAACAUUGCAAAAUGACACAUAAAUUCCCAAACGAAAAAUGCACUAAAGAAAAAAUAUAUCACCAAAAAUCUACGGCAUGAAAGAACAAAGGGUGAUCACAACCAACUAAUUCGCACUUACAGCACGCAGUGCGACCACCACUGAUAAAGAUUUUCACCAAGGGAAAAUCAGAUUUAUUCAAAAAUGCCUAAUAUGGUUCAGAACCCGGCUAAACGAGCCCCCAUUUAUGUUACGUGACCAUGGUACUAAACCGAACUGGUACAACAUUACAUACAAAAACCAUAGACGCAGUGACAUUGCAAAAACAAUUUAAUUUAAUGAAAUAAUGAUUUUUACAUAAACAGAGCGUGGUGGUAAAAAAAAAAAACAGAGAACAAACAGAAAGAAAAUCCUGACCUCACAUAACUACAACAAAGGUAAAACUUACCUACCUCCCGACCGAAAACAAAAGACAAAAUUUACAGUGAGUCUUCCGGGUCCUCUAACUGCUAAACUAACUCACCUAAACUAAAUAACAUGAAAAAUACCAAUCACCAGAUACCACCCGCUCUAAACAUCAAUUAUAAACUGACACCCACAAACAUCAAUCCCAUACCGGAAAACGUGCUUGUGAAAACGGAAACAUUACGUCAACACGACAACCUCCACAGAGAUAAUAACGAGCCGUGCGAGCCCAGCGAGACUCCAUGGAGCUGCGCUCCGCGCUCCGUCUGCCAGCAGGAGCAGAUGAGAAUGAGAAGAGAGCCCACCCCCUCCUCCGGACGUCAAACACGGCGUCUUUAAAGUGGUUGCCCCACCCACAAACAGCAGCCAGCGGGACAUCACAUGACCUAGAGAAUAUAUAAAUAUAAGAAAUGUAGAACAUAUAAAAAGUGUUUGUGGCUCGUCUGCCAGUGGGUACUAAUUCGAAGGCUCCUUUAAAUGUGGCCUUGAAACACAUCCUUUGUUUUCACUGCAAAGAAGGAUGCAACUGAUGAAUCCUUCACAGCCCAGGCUAUCCCAAGAUUCAUUGCACACUGAUGAUGACACGAUUUUAUGAGAG
ensembl:lncRNA